rnacentral:lncRNA from 1 species
AUUGGCUGGAAUGCUGGUAUGAAAUCAAUAAGACAAAAUUUAAAUCAGAUGUAAAGCCCAGGUGUGGUGGCUCACGCCUGUAAUCCCAGCACUUUGGGAGGCCAAGGCUGUCGAAUCAUUUGAGGUCAGGAGUUCAAGACCAGGCUGGCCAACAUGGCGAAACCCCGUCUCUACUAAAAAUACAAAAAUUAGCUGGGUGUCGUGGCACAUGCCUGUAAUCCCAGCUACUCAGCAGGCUGAGGGAGGAGAAUUGCUUGAACCCACGGUGCUGAAGUUACAGUGAGCCGAGAUUGCGUCACUGCACUCCUGCUUGGACGACACAGCGAGACUCUCUCUCAAAAAAAAGGAAACCUGCUAGAUCUCAGAAUUAUAGCAAUAGUUUCAGUUGACCUCAUCUCCUUCCUACAUGUGUUCCCCUCUCUGCCCAUGUCCUUCUGACCUUGUGAGUUCUGAAAUGAGUCCAAACUUCUCCCAUCACAGUCCCUCUCUCUAAGUAUACAGAUUUAUCUUUCUAUCAUGACUGAGGUAUGCACAGAGUUGACUUUAUGAGUGUACGAUCUGUGUUGCUGCACAGAGUCCUGCACUUAAAAGCACCCCAUACUCAGUUUAAUGUCUCCUUCUGGAAAUUCUUCUUUUCUUUUCUUUGUGCUCACUUUGGCAGCAUAUACACUAAAAUUGGAACAAUACAGAGAAGAUUAGCAUUGUCCCUGAGCAAGCAUGACACACAAAUUCAUGAAGCAUUUCAUAUUUUUAUUUAUAAAAAAUAAAAUUUUUUAAAAAGUUAAAAGUAAUUUUAAUUGGCAAAUAAAAAUUAUAUAUAUUUAUCAUGUACAAAAUGAUGCUUUCAUAUAUGUAUACAUUAUGGAAUGGUUAAAUCAAGCUAAUUAACAUAUUCAUUACUUCACAUGCUAAUAAUUUUUUUGUGGUGAGGACACUACAAAUCUACUCUCUUGGCCAUUUUUCAAGUAUGCAAUACACUAUUGUUUACGAUAGUCAUCAUGUUGUGCAAUAGAUCUCUUGAAACUUCUUGAAAUUCUUAACAAUUUAAAAAUUUUUUUUAGAGACAAAGGAUCUUACUGUGUUGCCCAGGCUGGUCUUGAAUUCCUGGACUCAAGCGAUCCUCCUGCCUCAGCCUCUUGUGUAGCUGGGAUUACAGAUGCAAGCCCCCAUGCCUGGCUGUAACAACUCUUGAAUAAAGAGUCUGGCAUUUUCAUUUUGCACUGAGCCCCACAAAUUAUAUAGCCAGUCCUCGGUAUAGGAAACAUCCUUUUCUUCUCUGAGCAGUUGAAGUUUUCCAAAAGGAAGUUUUUCUAUGAAAAUGAGGUAGCAAACAAACAAGAUGGCUACACCAAAAGUUAGCAAAAAUAAAAUUUCAGAUUACAGGUGAAUCCCAAAGUGAACUAGCACCAAGCCAAAAAUGCAAUUAGUCAGCACAGUAGAGACAGUCCAUAGCGUUUGGCUCCUUUCCACUUCAUUUGUAGCUGCCUAAAAUGUUAAAUUAAGAUAUGCACAUGAUCUGAGAUGGAUUUUGUUUGGCAGCAAAACCAAACUGUAGUAUCUGUAGGAUUCUGGCUAUGCUAGGAAUAGACCCUAGGUCACUGGCCCUAGCUCCAUCAUCACUUGCUAGUCCCAUUUCUGACCCACUCCUUCUGUUCUUUCUACCCAUUUCAGAUCUCCAGGUCUCUGGCUUCUUCACUUUGGCUCCAUUUACUUCAUAUCUGUUUUCUAGCCAAUUGAAAAGGUCAGUUUGUUAUGCAAACUGGAGAACCCUGGCUUCCUUACUUAUUAUUAGCAAAAUGUAAGCUUGCCAGAUUUAACUAAUUAAAAUGUAAGAUCCACAAUUACUUUUGAAUUUUAGACAAACAAUGGAUGCAUUUUUAGUAUAUGUUCCAUAUAUUGCAUGGCAUGUACUUAUAGUAAAAAAUUAUUUAUCUAGCUUAAAUUCAAAUUUAAUUGAAUGUUCGGUGGGGUGCAAUGGCUCACGCCUGUAAUCCCAGAACUUUGGGGGGCUGAGGCAGGAGGAUCACCUGAGGUCAGGAGUUUGAGGCCAGCCUGGCUAACAUGGUGAAACCCCAUAUCUACUAAAAAUACAAAAAAUUAGCCAGGUGUGGUGGAAGGCACCUGUAAUCCCAGCUACAUGGGAGGCUGAGUCAGGAGAAAUGUUUGAACCUGGGAGGCGGAGGUUGCAGUGAGCUGAGAUCAUGCCAUUGCACUCCAGCUUGGGCAACAAGAGCAAAAUUCCAUCUCAAAAAAAAAAAAUUUAAUUGAAUGUUCUGCAUUUUACCUUGGGACCCUGUCAUCAUGGGCACCCAUGGAUCAUGGGCUGCCCUGAACAUACAGGAGAUGCCUACUAUCUAACCUCCUUGGAGGCCAUUGGCAUGUCUUCAGUUUUCUUGGGACCAAAACUCUCUCGGUCUCAUCUGAUGUCAAAUUCUCUGCUCCUGCAGCUUCUGCCCCCUCUCAAGUUCCCACUUCAAUAAAAGAGCAGAAAUUACUAAUGAAUCCUGGGUUUAUUGAGCAAUCAUACCUCUUUCUCAAUUUACCUGAACAAUUCUUCCCAUUUACUCAAGUUCUCUUUCAUAAUUCUAUUCCCAAGUACCCCCAGAAAAGUAACUGUUACCAGAUUUUGCAAUACAGAUGUUGACCGGUUUUCUCAUCCGUAUAUCUACGGUAGCCACUGUAUUGCAUGGUAUACAGUGGAAUUCAAUAAAUGUCUGUUGGGUGAUUGAAUUAGUUAAUUAAAGCGUAUAUUCCCUAUAGGUUUUUUUGUUGGAACAGAUAGAACAGAGUGUUCUAUUUUAUUCCAGAGGGAAGGACCAGGGCCAAUAGCGUGAACACUUAGGGAAAUCAUUUUGACUUCAACAUCUGGAAACUUUUCUUAGCUCCAGAGGUCAAAGUGGUGGUGUUGAGAAGUCAAGAUCUUCCUACCCUGGCAAUGUUCAGAAGGAGGUCUAAUUUCCACCACUAUGGCAUUGCUGUCACAAACAGAAUUUCUGGACUAGGGGCAGUGAGAAGUAAUUGUUAAACUACUUCCGAACCUAAGAAUCAAGAACGUUAAUGCACCCUCUCCACAAACACACUUUUAUUUUUUCAACUUAAAAGUUGCACUUGAUACUGAAUUCUGCUCUUCUGAGAACAAGGACAUAUAACAGAUGCACGCACACAUUAAUGAUGUGCCAACUCCCUUUUGUUUCAAGUCUUAUAGAGCAUAAAGACAAAGAGGUCAUUUCUAGUAAUGGAGAGUAAAAAGCCCUUAAUUUUUCAGUUUAUCUUUGAUUUAUGUUUCUGUGUUUGUGUGUGGCCAGGCUCUCCUUGGCCUUUUCAAAAGGAACUGGCAUAACCACUGAAAAUGUGUGGUAACUGACUACAUGUCCCUGGGGAGAAAUCUUAUGUUACUCAAAACACAGUUGCUAAUGAACAGCCUGUGUUAGUCCCUCAACAUAAGAGAAAAAAAGCUAUUUGUAGGUAUGAAGGUAAGCACAACCAUUCCCCCAAUAACCCUGGAAUUCUUAUAUAUCUCACCA